UUGAACGCUGGCGGCAGGCCUAACACAUGCAAGUCGAGCGGUAGCACAGAGAGCUUGCUCUCGGGUGACGAGCGGCGGACGGGUGAGUAAUGUCUGGGAAACUGCCUGAUGGAGGGGGAUAACUACUGGAAACGGUAGCUAAUACCGCAUAACGUCGCAAGACCAAAGUGGGGGACCUUCGGGCCUCAUGCCAUCAGAUGUGCCCAGAUGGGAUUAGCUAGUAGGUGGGGUAACGGCUCACCUAGGCGACGAUCCCUAGCUGGUCUGAGAGGAUGACCAGCCACACUGGAACUGAGACACGGUCCAGACUCCUACGGGAGGCAGCAGUGGGGAAUAUUGCACAAUGGGCGCAAGCCUGAUGCAGCCAUGCCGCGUGUGUGAAGAAGGCCUUCGGGUUGUAAAGCACUUUCAGCGGGGAGGAAGGCGGUGAGGUUAAUAACCUCAUCGAUUGACGUUACCCGCAGAAGAAGCACCGGCUAACUCCGUGCCAGCAGCCGCGGUAAUACGGAGGGUGCAAGCGUUAAUCGGAAUUACUGGGCGUAAAGCGCACGCAGGCGGUCUGUCAAGUCGGAUGUGAAAUCCCCGGGCUCAACCUGGGAACUGCAUUCGAAACUGGCAGGCUAGAGUCUUGUAGAGGGGGGUAGAAUUCCAGGUGUAGCGGUGAAAUGCGUAGAGAUCUGGAGGAAUACCGGUGGCGAAGGCGGCCCCCUGGACAAAGACUGACGCUCAGGUGCGAAAGCGUGGGGAGCAAACAGGAUUAGAUACCCUGGUAGUCCACGCCGUAAACGAUGUCGAUUUGGAGGUUGUGCCCUUGAGGCGUGGCUUCCGGAGCUAACGCGUUAAAUCGACCGCCUGGGGAGUACGGCCGCAAGGUUAAAACUCAAAUGAAUUGACGGGGGCCCGCACAAGCGGUGGAGCAUGUGGUUUAAUUCGAUGCAACGCGAAGAACCUUACCUGGUCUUGACAUCCACAGAACUUUCCAGAGAUGGAUUGGUGCCUUCGGGAACUGUGAGACAGGUGCUGCAUGGCUGUCGUCAGCUCGUGUUGUGAAAUGUUGGGUUAAGUCCCGCAACGAGCGCAACCCUUAUCCUUUGUUGCCAGCGGUUAGGCCGGGAACUCAAAGGAGACUGCCAGUGAUAAACUGGAGGAAGGUGGGGAUGACGUCAAGUCAUCAUGGCCCUUACGACCAGGGCUACACACGUGCUACAAUGGCAUAUACAAAGAGAAGCGACCUCGCGAGAGCAAGCGGACCUCAUAAAGUAUGUCGUAGUCCGGAUUGGAGUCUGCAACUCGACUCCAUGAAGUCGGAAUCGCUAGUAAUCGUAGAUCAGAAUGCUACGGUGAAUACGUUCCCGGGCCUUGUACACACCGCCCGUCACACCAUGGGAGUGGGUUGCAAAAGAAGUAGGUAGCUUAACCUUCGGGAGGGCGCUUACCACUUUGUGAUUCAUGACUGGGG
rnacentral:rRNA from 1 species